GACAGAGGGUGCAAACGUUGUUCGGAAUUACUGGGCGUAAAGCGCGUGUAGGCUGCUUGGCAAGUCGAUGUGAAAUCCCUCGGCUCAACCGAGGAACUGCAUCCGAUACUGGCGGGCUUGAAUCCGGGAGAGGGAUGUGGAAUUCCAGGUGUAGCGGUGAAAUGCGUAGAUAUCUGGAGGAACACCGGUGGCGAAGGCGGCAUCCUGGACCGGUAUUGACGCUGAGGCGCGAAAAGCUAGGGGAGCAAACGGGGAUUAA
rnacentral:rRNA from 1 species